rnacentral:rRNA from 1 species
CCCCUAGAUGUACUGGGCCGCACGCGCGCUACACUGAACAGUUCAACAAGUCUUAACCUUGGCCGAUAGGUCUGGGUAAUCUUUGAACGCUGUUCGUGAUUGGGAUAGACCUUUGCAAUUAUGGGUCUUCAACGAGGAAUUCCUAGUAAACGCAAGUCAUCAGCUUGCAUUGAUUACGUCCCUGCCCUUUGUACACACCGCCCGUCGCACCUACCGAUUGAAUGGUCCGGUGAAAUCUCGGGACGGCGGCUUGGUCGCUUGCGUCCGACUGCUGAAACUUGAUUAAACCAUAUCAUUUAGAGGAAGGUGAAGUCGUAACA